CAGCCGCCACGGUAAAACGUAGGGUGCAAGCGUUAAUCGGAAUUACUGGGCGUAAAGCGUGCGCAGGCGGUUAUGUAAGACAGUUGUGAAAUUCCCGGGCUCAACCUGGGAACUGCAUCUGUGACUGCAUAGCUAGAGUACGGUAGAGGGGGAUGGAAUUCCGCGUGUAGCAGUGAAAUGCGUAGAUAUGUGGAGGAACACCGAUGGCGAAGGCAGCCCCCUGGGCUAAGAUUGACGCUCAUGCACGAAAGCGUGGGGAGCAAACAGGAUUAGAUACCCGGGUAGUCCCUGUCUCUUAUAC
rnacentral:rRNA from 1 species